AGUAAUGCAUAGGAAUCUGCCCGGUAGUGGGGGAUAACUUGAGGAAACUCAAGCUAAUACCGCAUACGCCCUACGGGGGAAAGCAGGGGCUCUUCGGACCUUGCGCUAUCGGAUGAGCUUAUGUCGGAUUAGCUAGUUGGUGAGGUAACGGCUUACCAAGGCGACGAUCCGUAGCUGGUCUGAGAGGAUGAUCAGCCACAUCGGGACUGAGACACGGCCCGAACUCCUACGGGAGGCAGCAGUGGGGAAUAUUGGACAAUGGGCGAAAGCCUGAUCCAGCCAUGCCGCGUGUGUGAAGAAGGCCCUCGGGUUGUAAAGCACUUUCAGUGAGGAAGAAGGCUUGUCGGUUAAUACCCGGCAGGAAGGACAUCACCCACAGCGG
rnacentral:rRNA from 1 species